CGUGUAUCUCUCUCCAUCCCCCUGGCUCACUUUCUUCUCUUUCGCUCUCUCUCAUUUUCGCUCCCUCUCUCUCUUUGCAGAGGGGAUGAGCUCGGGAGGAAGGCUGAGUGCUUUGCCAGUUGUGUGUUCGAGAGGGCAGGAAUCCCAACCGUGCGCAGACUAUUUGGAGAUCAGUUUCCCCUUGUCUGCUGGAAAUACAUUGCAAAUGCGUUUUCAAGCUUCGCAGCGAAGAUACCUGCUGUUAGAGUAACCAAUGGUGUCAUGGCUGUCUCCCCUGAGCGAGCGAGGUGUGCUGUGGUCCUGGCUGGACCUCCUCUCCUCCUCAUUAUCUGUGUCCUGUGGAUCCUGUGCUCAGACUCAGUGGAUGCUCAAGGGCAAGGUAAAAAUGAGUAUUUACUUUUCAUUCGCAGAUGCUUGCUCCUCAACUGUCAUAGGCAAUGAUAUAGACAUGAUGUGUAGAUCGCUGUAGUGCUGCUUGUGUCAACAUUAGGCCUGACAGACAGAUGCUUGACGGGUGCUUUGGUGUUGUAGAGUGAUAAUGCUUGAGUCUAUACGGA
rnacentral:lncRNA from 1 species